UACGUAGGGUGCAAGCGUUGUCCGGAAUUAUUGGGCGUAAAGAGCUCGUAGGCGGUUUGUCGCGUCUGCUGUGAAAACUGGAGGCUCAACCUCCAGCCUGCAGUGGGUACGGGCAGACUAGAGUGCGGUAGGGGAGAUUGGAAUUCCUGGUGUAGCGGUGAAAUGCGCAGAUAUCAGGAGGAACACCGGUGGCGAAGGCGGGUCUCUGGGCAGUAACUGACGCUGAGGAGCGAAAGCGUGGGGAGCAAACAGG
rnacentral:rRNA from 1 species